CAAUGGCUAGCGUAGUGGUUUGCGCAUUGGACUACGACUCUGGAGGCCAGGAUUUGAUUCCCAGCUCAUCCA